rnacentral:rRNA from 1 species
GACGAACGCUGGCGGCGUGCUUAACACAUGCAAGUCGAACGGAAAGGCCCUGCUUUUGUGGGGUGCUCGAGUGGCGAACGGGUGAGUAACACGUGAGUAACCUGCCCUUGACUUUGGGAUAACUUCAGGAAACUGGGGCUAAUACCGGAUAGGAGCUCCUGCUGCAUGGUGGGGGUUGGAAAGUUUCGGCGGUUGGGGAUGGACUGGCGGCUUAUCAGCUUGUUGGUGGGGUAGUGGCUUACCAAGGCUUUGACGGGUAGCCGGCCUGAGAGGGUGGCCGGCCACAUGGGGACUGAGAUACGGCCCAGACUCGUACGGGAGGCAGCAGUGGGGAAUAUUGCACAAUGGGCGGAAGCCUGAGGCAGCAACGCCGCGUGCGGGAUGACGGCCUUCGGGUUGUAAACCGCUUUCGCCGGUGACGAAGCGUGAGUGACGGUAAUGGGUAAAGAAGCACCGGCUAACUACGUG